rnacentral:rRNA from 1 species
UACGAAGGGGGCUAGCGUUGCUCGGAAUCGCUGGGCGUAAAGGGUGCGUAGGCGGGUCUUUAAGUCAGGGGUGAAAUCCUGGAGCUCAACUCCAGAACUGCCUUUGAUACUGGGGAUCUUGAGUCCGGGAGAGGUGAGUGGAACUGCGAGUGUAGAGGUGAAAUUCGUAGAUAUUCGGAGGAACACCAGUGGCGAAGGCGGCUCACUGGCUCGGUACUGACGCUGAGGUGCGAAAGCGUGGGGAGCAAACAGG